rnacentral:lncRNA from 1 species
GCAAGGGCAUGCGGCACUGAAGGCUCCUGCUAGGUUUUUUGCUGCAAAAAUUUUUAGUUUUAUGGGUUGUUUGGGCUUUAGGGUUUGUAAUUUUUUGGGUUAUCUGUUAUUGGGCCCCGGGCAGAUUUUGGGUUUUACAAUUACUUUUCUAUUAUUUUUUAUAAAAUAAAAAUACAGAAUGACAUCAAAUUAAAUUGAACAAAAGUAUUAUUAGUUUUAUCUUGUUGAACAAGCUCUAAAACUUCAUUCGGGGCACCAUCAUAAUUC